rnacentral:rRNA from 1 species
UGGCGGACGGGUGAGUAAUGUCUGGGAAACUGCCCGAUGGAGGGGGAUAACUACUGGAAACGGUAGCUAAUACCGCAUAACGUCGCAAGACCAAAGAGGGGGACCUUAGGGCCUCUUGCCAUCGGAUGUGCCCAGAUGGGAUUAGCUAGUAGGUAAGGUAACGGCUUACCUAGGCGACGAUCCCUAGCUGGUCUGAGAGGAUGAUCAGCCACACUGGGACUGAGGCACGGCCCAG